rnacentral:rRNA from 1 species
CAUGCAUGGUCUAAGUAUAAGCAACUAUACGGUGAAACUGCGCAAUGGCUCAUUAAAUCAGUUAUCGUUUAUUUGAUAGUACCUUACUACAUGGAUAACCGUGGUAAUUCUAGAGCUAAUACAUGCUAAAAACCCCGACUCCGGAAGGGGUGUAUUUAUUAGAUUAAAAACCAACGCCCUUCGGGGCUUCAUGGUGAAUCAUAAUAACUUCACGAAUCGCAUGGCCUUGCGCCGGCGAUGGUUCAUUCAAAUUUCUGCCCUAUCAACUUUCGAUGGUAGGAUAGUGGCCUACCAUGGUUUCAACGGGUAACGGGGAAUAAGGGUUCGACUCCGGAGAGGGAGCCUGAGAAACGGCUACCACAUCCAAGGAAGGCAGCAGGCGCGCAAAUUACCCAAUCCCGACACGGGGAGGUAGUGACAAUAAAUACUGAUACAGGGCUCUUUUGGGUCUUGUAAUUGGAAUGAGUACAAUUUAAAUCCCUUAACGAGGAACAAUUGGAGGGCAAGUCUGGUGCCAGCAGCCGCGGUAAUUCCAGCUCCAAUAGCGUAUAUUAAAGUUGUUGCAGUUAAAAAGCUCGUAGUUGAACCUUGGGCCUGGCUGGCCGGUCCGCCUCACCGCGUGCACUGGUCCGGCCGGGCCUUUCUUUCUGGGGAGCCGCAUGGCCUUCACUGGCCGUGUCGGGGAACCAGGACUUUUACUUUGAAAAAAUUAGAGUGUUCAAAGCAGGCCUUUGCUCGAAUACAUUAGCAUGGAAUAAUAGAAUAGGACGCGUGGUUCUAUUUUGUUGGUUUCUAGGACCGCCGUAAUGAUUA